GCAAGUCGAACGGUAACAGGAAGUACUUGUACUUUGCUGACGAGUGGCGGACGGGUGAGUAAUACUUAGGGAUCUGCCCUUUGGAGGGGGAUAACCAUUGGAAACGAUGGCUAAUACCGCAUAUUGCCUAUGGGCAAAAGAGGGGACUUGUUCCUCUCGCCAAAGGAGGAACCUAAGCGAGAUUAGCUAGUUGGUGAGGUAAAGGCUCACCAAGGCGACGAUCUCUAGCUGUUCUGAGAGGAAGAUC
rnacentral:rRNA from 1 species